UAGGCCUCAUGAAUGCACUCAAAACCUGAAGCAAUGAAGCAGGCAAAGAAAGUGUGACAGAGAGGAGAUUUCUGCAAGUUAACCUGUCAAUCACUGCCGAGCACCCGAUUGGCCGGCCGAGAUAUCAGCCGCCUCCCGGUGCUUGCCCGGUGAUUCGCUGCGAGGCUCGCGGCUCCUCCCCGGGGGCGGAGGAGGCGGCGAGCAGGAAAGAGGCCGCUGGCCGUGCCUGACCCCAGCACUUCUACCCUCGCCUUCCUCGGGCCGCCUGGCUCAGCUCCUCGCACCUCCCCAUGUCGGAUACACGUGGCGGCAGUGACAGCUGUCCCGACGAGACUGGCGUCGAGAAACAGUAAUAUUUUUUAAACAUUUUAAGGAAGAACUUGGAACAACCACUUCUGUCAGGAAAAAUAUCCGUCAGUAGAAGAAAUUAGAAAUUUAUGCCUGGCGUUCCAGAUAUAUUAGCCAAGGGGCUGAUCGCUAUGAAACUGGAAAGAAGUAUAAAUGAACUAUAACUGCAAAGAAAAUCAAUACCUUUCAUCACAGACCUUUAACUCUAAUUCAGUUAAAUCUGUAUUUAUUUUUAAGUAAGACUAUAUGACAUUUGAUUUUCCUGAAAAAUAUUAUACUACCCAAGCAUAUAUUUAAUAUCAUAUUUCGCAGGAAAAUCAGAUGCCAUACAGUGCUAUGUAUAAAUAAGUAAAUAUUAUAUGAUUUCUUAGUACUUUCAUGCUCUCUAUUAAUCUGCCUGGGGAAAUUACUAUUCUUCAUUCCUCCUCUGCACUGCAAAGGCUUGAUAUAAUUGCAUCAAAAUGUUACACUUAGUUUCUAUAAUAUCUCAGCUGUUUAUCUCUUCUUGCCUCUUCUGAACAAUUUCAUCAGUUGGAUUUAGAUCUAAUAAAUUAAGGCAUGAUAAUUAAUUCUGUACUUCUUCCCCUGUAAAUUCUAAUCAUAACUGUUACAAUUUGUUAAAUACCAACUUUCCAAGAAAUUUUAUAUUUUUAAAGGAGUCUUUGUGUUUAAUUGCUGAUUCAAGCCAUGACAUGAAAGCAAACCUAGUGUCAGGGUUCCAAGUAACAGGCCCAUUGCAAUAAAUACUCCAAAGCAGGGG